rnacentral:rRNA from 1 species
AUUGAACGCUGGCGGCAUGCCUUACACAUGCAAGUCGAACGGUAACAGGUCUUCGGCUGCUGACGAGUGGCGAACGGGUGAGUAAUACAUCGGAACGUGCCCAGACGUGGGGGAUAACGAGGCGAAAGCUUUGCUAAUACCGCAUACGAUCUAAGGAUGAAAGCAGGGGACCGCAAGGCCUUGCGCGUUUGGAGCGGCCGAUGGCAGAUUAGGUGGUUGGUGGGAUAAAAGCUUACCAAGCCGACGAUCUGUAGCUGGUCUGAGAGGACGACCAGCCACACGGGAGGUGAGAAAGCGCCCAGACUCCGAGGGGGGGAAGCAGGGGAGAAUUUUGGACAAUGGGCGAAGGCCUGACCCAGCAAUGCGGGGUGCAGGGGGAGGGCCUUGGGGUUGAAAACUUUUUUUGUAGGGAAGAAAAAGGUUCUGGCAAAUACGGGGGGAAAAGGACGGAACCGUAAGAAUAAGCACCGGCUAACUACGUG